rnacentral:misc_RNA from 1 species
GAUGAAGAACGCAGCGAAAUGCGAUAAGUAAUGUGAAUUGCAGAAUUCAGUGAAUCAUCGAAUCUUUGAACGCACAUUGCGCCCAUUAGUAUUCUAGUGGGCAUGCCUGUUCGAGCGUCAUUUCAACCCUUAAGCUUAGCUUAGUGUUGGGAGACUGCCUAACCGCAGCUCCUCAAAUACAGUUGGCAGAGUGUAUGUGUGCUCUGAGCGUAGUAAUUUAUUCUCGCUUCUGAAAACUAUAUACUGUAGCCACAAACCUAUUAUUUUUUAAUGGUUGACCUCGGAUCAGGUAGGAAUACCCGCUGAACUUAAGCAUAUCAAAAGCGGAGGA